AUGUCCAGUUCAAGUUUUCUCUGCUUUUCAUGAAUGCUCCAAGAACUUCACUGAAACGAAGAACAACAGCUUCUCCUAGUGAACCAGCCAAGAAGUUCAACCAAGAAUUUUAUGAGGAAGCUUAAGGCAACUGAUAAGAAGAAUUAAACACAUCACAUUUCUCAUUUGGGUAACAACAUAAUGAUGGUGGCUCCAAUAUGACAUGUGUUGGAAUUUGGACUUCUAUGGGUAUCAGAAAUACUCCAUGAAUGUAAUCCUUCGUUCACUCAUCACUGCAACCUUUGGAGGUAAUGAUGUAGUUUAAAUUAUUGAAUGUUUAUUUCUGUAUUUCAGUAAUUGAUAUAGGGAUAUUGAUGGUAUUGUUCCUUAUUAAUAUUUUUUCGGUUCUUAAUGUAAGACCUAAUUAACUAAUUAGAGCAGAUUAAGGAUGUUAAUUAAAUUAGUUAAUAUGAUAUGUUUUUCUAAACAACCUAAU